rnacentral:lncRNA from 1 species
UUUUUCUUUCUUUUCUUUUCUUCUUUUAUUUCUCUUCCUUCCUUCCUUCCUUCCUUCCUUCCUUCCUUCCUUCCUUUCUUUCUUUCUUUCUUUUCUUCUCUUUCUUUCCUCUUUCUCUUUUUCUCUUUUUUUUUUUUGGACAGCGUCUCACUCGAUGGCCCAGGCUGGAGUGCCAUGGCAUGAACACAGCUCGCUCUGGUCUCAAACUCCUGGCCUCAAGUGGCCUAUACACCCAGCACUUUGGAAGGCUGAGGAAGGAGGAUCGCUUGAGGCCAGGAGUUUGAGACUAGCCUAGGCAACACAGUGAGGCCUUAUCUCAACAACAACCACAAAAUCUAAAAAUUAGCUGGGUGUGGUGGUGCAUGCCUGUGAUCCUGGCUACUUCAGAGGCUGAGGUGGAAGGAUCACUUGAGGCCAGGAGUUUGAGGCUGCAGUGAGUUAUGAUGGCACUGCUGCACUCCAGCCUGCGGGACAGAGUGAGACCCUGUCUGAAAGAAAGAGAGAAAGAAAGAAAGAAAGAGAGAGAAAGAAAGAAAGAAAGAAAGGGAAAGAUGGAAGGAAGGAAGGAAAAAGAAAGAGAAAGAGAGAGAGAGAGAAAGAAAAAGAAAGAAAAGUAAGAAAGAAAAAAGAAAAAGAAAGAAAAGUAAGAAAGAAAAAAAGAAAAAGAAAGAAAGUAAGUCCUGGCUAACACGGUGAAACCCUGUCUCUACUAAAAAUACAAAAAAUUAGCCAGGCGAGGUGGCAGGCGCCUGUAGUCCCAGCUACUCGGGAGGCUGAGGCAGGAGAAUGGCGUGAACCCCGGUGGGGGCGGAGCCUGCAAUGAGCCGAGAUCGCGCCACUGCAUCCAACCUGGGUGACAGCAAGACUCCGUCUC